AUCACACAGAUAUACAGACAGGCGGAAAAGAUGGAAAGAUGGAAACAACAGAUCAAGUUGAUGUGAAAGCUAACUCAAUCUUCUAUCUGUCUAUCUAUCUAUUCCUUUCUCAGUUCAUGAUUUCUUCAUUCUUCAUUCUUCUUCCUCCU
rnacentral:ribozyme from 1 species